rnacentral:rRNA from 2 species
UGGGGAAUAUUGCACAAUGGGGGAAACCCUGAUGCAGCGACGCCGCGUGAACGAAGAAGGUAUUCGUAUCGUAAAGUUCUGUCCUAUGGGAAGAUAAUGACAGUACCAUAGAAGAAAGCUCCGGCUAAAUACGUGCCAGCAGCCGCGGUAAUACGUAUGGAGCGAGCGUUGUCCGGAAUUAUUGGGCGUAAAGGGUACGUAGGCGGUUUAAUAAGUCGAAUGUUAAAGAUCGGGGCUCAACCCCGUAAAGCAUUGGAAACUGAUAAACUUGAGUAGUGGAGAGGAAAGUGGAAUUCCUAGUGUAGUGGUGAAAUACGUAGAUAUUAGGAGGAAUACCAGUAGCGAAGGCGACUUUCUGGACACAAACUGACGCUGAGGUACGAAAGCGUGGGGAGCAAACAGG